rnacentral:lncRNA from 10 species
CAUGGAUGCUUGAAGGAGUGAAGCUAGCAGGGCUGGAUGAAGUGCAAAGAACAGUCGGAUUCGUCAAGGCAAUGGGGCAAUUAGAGUAUAUCAGAUGAUCAGGGCAUCAGGGGUGCAGGAGAGUGUUGGCCUCCUGGAAUACAUGAGAAGUCAGCUUGGAAGAGGAUGCUACCAAACCACGGAUGAGAAGCCCAUGGGCACCUCAAAGCACCCAGGCGGCGAGAUGGGGAAACCGAGGCACAGAAGAGCUGAGACACGUCCCUAGGAUGACAUGACUACAGGUGGUGAAACUCGGCAGCGAGCCCGAGUGCUUUCCUCCGAGGCCCGUUCCCGUAGCCGCUGGAGCACCGCUGCCUCUGCUGGGAGGCUGCUGCCGGCUCGUUCCUCCUGCAUCUCUCUGUUAAAACGUUUGCUUAUUAACAUUUUUCCAUGUGCUUUUAAAAAACAUGGCUAGUUCUGAAAGAGAACCAGUGUGUCUGCAAGCUGGAGAGGAAGGAACCAUCGCACACACUUGGCAAGCGAAGGGUCCGGGAGUCCUGGUCACCGUGCAGCGAUUGGGAGCCUGCAUUUUGCGGCAGAAUCCUGGAUUCUGCUUUACAUCCCUGCGGACAGAGAGCACCCAAUAGAGCCUUCGGCACCUCGUUUUGUCCUUUUUCUUCUUUCACCCCCAUCUCUCACCCUGGUCCUGGGAAACUGAAAUAAUGUCCCCCCUCUGACCUCCUCCAAGGCCCCCUUCCUGCCUCCUCCUGUUAUCAGCUGGGGCUCCUGCCUCCCCUCUUCGUGAACAUUCUUACUCUUGCAUUUCUGGGUGGCGUUUAUGUGAGGGCAGUGAAACAUCAUCCACAGGCUGGGGUCGUCUGGUGCGGGGGCCGUGACGACAGUCGCUUGCUCAGCGGGGGGUCCCAGCCGAUUUGCAGAAGCCAAGGAACUAGGAUCAAAACCCUGCUCUCCCUUCCUUCGGCUUCAGCCUGCUCCCUUGGUUCUACCACGGAAACCCCUACGAACAUAAAAUAAAUUUGUACCGCCAGGUCCCUGGUGUUCAGAGCAGGUGCCCCUGAUUGCACGAGUCUGGGGUCCGCCCGCCUCCCUCCCAGACCGGACUCCAGGCCGUGCUGCGCCGCGGAGCGAGGAGGGAG